GACGAACCGAGCGAACGUUGUUCGGAAUCACUGGGCUUAAAGGGCGCGUAGGCGGGCUGCCGCGUCCGGGGUGAAAUCCCACGGCUCAACCGUGGAACGGCCCCGGGUACGGGCGGCCUCGAGGAAGGUAGGGGCGUGCGGAACUGUGGGUGGAGCGGUGAAAUGCGUUGAGAUCCACAGGAACUCCGGUGGCGAAGGCGGCACGCUGGACCUUUUCUGACGCCGAGGCGCGAAAGCCAGGGGAGCGAACGGG
rnacentral:rRNA from 1 species